rnacentral:rRNA from 1 species
AGUGAACGCUGGCGGUAGGCCUAACACAUGCAAGUCGAACGGCAGCACAGUAAGAGCUUGCUCUUACGGGUGGCGAGUGGCGGACGGGUGAGGAAUACAUCGGAAUCUACUUUUUCGUGGGGGAUAACGUAGGGAAACUUACGCUAAUACCGCAUACGACCUACGGGUGAAAGCAGGGGAUCUUCGGACCUUUCGCGAUUGAAUGAGCCGAUGUCGGAUUAGCUAGUUGGCGGGGUAAAGGCCCACCAAGGCGACGAUCCGUAGCUGGUCUGAGAGGAUGAUCAGCCACACUGGAACUGAGACACGGUCCAGACUCCGACGGGAGGCAGCAGUGGGGAAUAUUGGACAAUGGGCGCAAGCCUGAUCCAGCCAUACCGCGUGGGUGAAGAAGGCCUUCGGGUUGUAAAGCCCUUUUGUUGGGAAAGAAAAGCAGCAGGUUAAUACCCCGCUGUUCUGACGGUACCCAAAGAAUAAGCGCCGGCUAACUUCGUG